GCAUCUACCUUGUCCUCUGUGAAAUAAUUUGACGUUUGUGACGUCCUCAACGUCGCAAAUGUACCAUUCCGAGAUGGAACCCAUUUUGAUCCCCACAAUUUAAGGAUGCACAUAAAGUGCAGGGUCCACAAGGAAUUGAACCUAGAGCUCUGAUACCAACUGAAAGGACCCACUCCGAAUUUUUCAGAACCCGAGGCGAACCCUUUGGAAUUCCCGACAUCCUCC
rnacentral:lncRNA from 1 species